AUGUUAUAUAACGGGUUUAAAAUUGAAAUUUAUGCUGCACGAUUUUUAAACGCGGGAAUAAAUUUCCUUAGUUAAUUUUUUAUUUACAUUGAAUUUCACAUUUGAAUAUCAUUUGAUUAGGGAGAGACGCUUUAAUUGCAAGCGAACCAACGAACGUUUGAAAUUUAAAGUGGUCUAAGCAAACAGAAACAGAAUGGUUAAGAUUGAACUGG
rnacentral:lncRNA from 1 species